rnacentral:misc_RNA from 1 species
GAUGAAGAACGUAGCGAAAUGCGAUACGUAAUGUGAAUUGCAGAUCUCUCAGUGAACCAUCGAAUUUUUGAACGCACAUAGCGCCCGCCGGUCAUUCCGGCGGGCAUGCCUGUCCGAGCGUCGAUGACGCCGCUCGAGCCCCCGUGCUCGGUGUUGGGGCGCUAGGUCUCCCAGAGGCCUAGGCCCCCAAGUAGCAGUGCGCGGUCCGGCUGCGGGCCCCGGGUACAGUAACUUCACUGUUGAGAUGCCCUGGGAGCCGCUGGAUGGGUCAGCCGUAAAACCCCCGACAUAGGCCUUCCUGUCCGCCCCCGGCGGGGAGGGAGACCGCCUAAUGUUGACCUCGGAUCAGGUAGGACUACCCGCUGAACUUGAGCAUAUCAAUAAGCGGAGGA